UUCAUUUGGAACUACUCGGAAAUCUGAGAGUACUGUAUCAGCUGGAUCUUCUUUGUCCACCUGCUUCCUGAUGCUUUCACUGAACUUAAAAAUCUAUGACGUGUGACUCCCCUUUGACAAAAGCUAUCAUGAUUUUAUUUUGGAAUGUAAUAUUGCACAUCCUAGUAGUUAAACAGUUAACGAGAACUUGCAAAAAUUUGUCCUGCUGCAAUGUGCCGUUACUAAUCUCUGAAUAGAAGGUUGGACUUAGACCUAUCAUCUUCGUAUCAGAGAAGAGUCUGCGGAGGAUCCACUGUCAUUGUGCCCUCUGCUGCAGAUUUGUUUGUGUCUCUUAACUGCAGUGCAACCUGAGAGUAGUUGCUCAAGCAGCCCUUCCCACCACCUCUGCUUUCAGAGCUCCUGACACCAAACGGAUUUCAUCUGAUAUUUAAAGCCUCUCUAAGUCCUCUGUUGUCAGUACAUAUGAAAUGAAGGGAUGAAAAAAGAUAACAAACAUGCUGAAGAGCAUCUUUCCAGUGAAUGAACAGUGAAGCAAUAAAUUACGUGGUAAAUGCAGCACAGUAUAGUAUCCUGCUCGUGCUGUGUAAUUUUUGAUUGUAGUAGGUGAUGGUGUGCAUGCGCAAAUAGGGCAAGGCUGAAACACUAGCUGUACCUCAGCGUGCAUUUUCAGGGAGAAUAAGUGCUGUGUUGAUUUACUGGACUUAAUUCUGUUUCUGAAGGAAAAAGAAUUACAAAAAUGCUGUAAUUUAGGAAGGUGAACAGGUACAUGAAUUUCUUCAAUUGGUACCAAGGUCUACCAUUUUUUCUAAGUAAUAAGUGCCAUUAAUACAUUCAGUACUGCAGAAUUUUUUGCUCUUUGCCUCAUGAGGAUG